UCUCCACAAUUUUUAAGCCAAUCAUACCACACCAUCACUUUUAAACUGUCUCGUGAACCACAGAACCAUGACGUGGCAGAUAUUGAUUAAAGGAGACAAUCUGAUUAUAAUAAGAUAAACAAGACUCGGCCGUAGAAAAAUAUACUUCCCUAAAAAUUCAAGAGACGGUUGAUAAAGUGGUAACAUAACGGUGGCAAACGUGCUCGUUCACGAGAUUGGCGCCACUUCCGCCGCAUCAUUUUCCCUUUCCAUGAUUUUCUCGGGAAAAAUACCGAAAGAAAUGAAAAUUUCAAGAUUAGCUUCCAACAUUUUUUUAUACAUAAAUUUUAUUUCAUGUCAUUGUUCUUGGCAGAUGUCGACUCACAAACAAAUACUAAAUAAUAAUUUGCCUUGACUCGGCCAAAUCGAGUACAAACGUCUCUACACGACGCAUCAAAUUAGUCAAUCCAGAUCCGAAGAAUAAGUCAUUUUCUUAAACUUUUCGCUGCCAAUUCGGAUCUGCUGAUUUCUAUCAAGACGAAGAAUUGAGAUCAAUCUCAGAGAGAGAGACAGGACGACAAGAACUUGAUCGUUUGUUGAUUGAAUUCAUCGAUCUGAUUGGGGGGAAAAAGGAAGGUUAAGAUUGAUCGGAACGAAUUGGGU
rnacentral:lncRNA from 1 species